rnacentral:rRNA from 1 species
AUACGUAGGUGGCAAGCGUUGUCCGGAAUUACUGGGCGUAAAGCGCGCGUAGGUGGUUCAGUCAGUCAGAUGUGAAAGCCCCGGGCUCAACCUGGGAACUGCACCUGAUACUGCUGAGCUAGAGUACGGUAGAGGGCAGUGGAAUUUCCGGUGUAGCGGUGAAAUGCGUAGAGAUCGGAAGGAACACCAGUGGCGAAGGCGACUGCCUGGACUGAUACUGACACGGAGGUGCGAAAGCGUGGGUAGCAAACAGGAUUAGAUACCCUGGUAGUCCACGUCGUAAACGAUGUCAACUAGCCGUUGGGGGACUUGAUCCUUUAGUGGCGAAGCUAACGCGAUAAGUUGACCGCCUGGGGAGUACGGCCGCAAGGUUAAAACUCAAAUGAAUUGACGGGG